rnacentral:rRNA from 1 species
GUUUGAUCCUGGCUCAGGACGAACGCUGGCGGCGUGCUUAACACAUGCAAGUCGAGCGGUAAGGCCUCUUCGGGGGUACACGAGCGGCGAACGGGUGAGUAACACGUGGGUGACCUGCCCUCAGCUCUGGGAUAAGCCUGGGAAACUGGGUCUAAUACUGGAUAUGACUGCGCAUCGCAUGGUGUGUGGUAGAAAGUUUUUUCGGCUGGGGAUGGGCCCGCGGCCUAUCAGCUUGUUGGUGGGGUGAUGGCCUACCAAGGCGACGACGGGUAGCCGGCCUGAGAGGGCGUCCGGCCACACUGGGACUGAGACACGGCCCAGACUCCUACGGGAGGCAGCAGUGGGGAAUAUUGCGCAAUGGGCGGAAGCCUGACGCAGCGACGCCGCGUGGGGGAUGACGGCCUUCGGGUUGUAAACCUCUUUCGCCAGGGACGAAGAGAAAUUGACGGUACCUGGAUAAGAAGCACCGGCCAACUACGUGCCAGCAGCCGCGGUAAUACGUAGGGUGCGAGCGUUGUCCGGAAUUAUUGGGCGUAAAGAGCUCGUAGGCGGUGUGUCGCGUCGGUCGUGAAAACUUGGGGCUUAACUUUGAGCUUGCGGUCGAUACGGGCAUCACUGGAGUUCGGCAGGGGAGACUGGAAUUCCUGGUGUAGCGGUGAAAUGCGCAGAUAUCAGGAGGAACACCGGUGGCGAAGGCGGGUCUCUGGGCCGAUACUGACGCUGAGGAGCGAAAGCGUGGGGAGCGAACAGGAUUAGAUACCCUGGUAGUCCACGCCGUAAACGGUGGGCGCUAGGUGUGGGGGCCAUUCCACGGUCUCUGUGCCGCAGCUAACGCAUUA